GCUGGGCAUUGUGGCGGGUGCCUGUAGUCCCAGCUACUUGGGAAGCUGAGGCAAAAGAAUUGCUUAAGCCCUGGAGUUGGAGGUUGCUGUGAGCUGUGAUGCCACAGCACUCUACCAAGGGCAAUAAAGUGAGACUUUGUCUCUA
rnacentral:SRP_RNA from 1 species